rnacentral:rRNA from 1 species
UACGAAGGGUGCAAACGUUGCUCGGAAUUAUUGGGCGUAAAGCGCACGUAGGCGGCUUAGCAAGUCGGAAGUGAAAUCCCACGGCUCAACCAUGGAAGUGCUUUCGAAACUGCUGAGCUUGAGUACUAAAGAGGGUCGCGGAAUUCCCGGUGUAGAGGUGAAAUUCGUAGAUAUCGGGAGGAACACCGGUGGCGAAGGCGGCGACCUGGGUAGAUACUGACGCUGAGGUGCGAAAGCGUGGGGAGCAAACAGG